rnacentral:rRNA from 1 species
AACGAACGCUGGCGGCAGGCUUAACACAUGCAAGUCGAACGCCCCGCAAGGGGAGUGGCAGACGGGUGAGUAACGCGUGGGAAUCUACCUAGUUCUACGGAACAACUGAGGGAAACUUCAGCUAAUACCGUAUACGCCCUACGGGGGAAAGAUUUAUCGGAAUUAGAUGAGCCCGCGUAAGAUUAGCUAGUUGGUGGGGUAAUGGCCUACCAAGGCGACGAUCUUUAGCUGGUCUGAGAGGAUGAUCAGCCACACUGGGACUGAGACACGGCCCAGACUCCUACGGGAGGCAGCAGUGGGGAAUAUUGGACAAUGGGCGCAAGCCUGAUCCAGCCAUGCCGCGUGAGUGAUGAAGGCCUUAGGGUUGUAAAGCACUUUCAGUGGGGAAGAUAAUGACGGUACCCACAGAAGAAGCCCCGGCUAACUUCGUGCCAGCCGCCGCAGUAACAC